rnacentral:rRNA from 1 species
UACGUAGGGUGCGAGCGUUGUCCGGAAUUAUUGGGCGUAAAGAGCUUGUAGGUGGUUUGUCGCGUCUGCUGUGAAAAUCCGAGGCUCAACCUCGGACUUGCAGUGGGUACGGGCAGACUAGAGUGUGGUAGGGGAGACUGGAAUUCCUGGUGUAGCGGUGGAAUGCGCAGAUAUCAGGAGGAACACCGAUGGCGAAGGCAGGUCUCUGGG